rnacentral:rRNA from 1 species
UACGGAGGGUGCGAGCGUUAAUCGGAAUUACUGGGCGUAAAGCGUCCGUAGGCGGCUUGUUAAGUCUGAUGUGAAAGCCCUGGGCUUAACCUGGGAACGGCAUUGGAUACUGGCGAGCUAGAGUUCGGUAGAGGGUGGUGGAAUUCCCGGUGUAGCGGUGAAAUGGGUAGAGAUCGGGAGGAGCUCCGGUGGCGCAGGCGGCCACCUGGACCGAGACUGACGUUGUGGGGCGAAAGCGAGGGGAGCAAACAGG